GGGAAAACCAGGCCUGGAACAGCAGGAGGGUACCACUGCCGGGAGCAUGCCAAUCUAGUGGGGACGGGCACAGCCAGGGCCUAGCAGAAACAUCCCGCUAGCAUGCUUAGCCAUCAUUUUUGGAUGCAGCAGCGGAUACUGGGACGGUGAGGAGCGUGGUUGCUGUCAAGGAUGAGGAACUAAGAGUUGAUGCCCUUCACCAAAAUUACACAUCACUUCUGCCACUGCCCAUUAUAUGAAGGGCUGCCUGCAGGAUUUAGAAAGGAUUGGACAGAGAAAUUGUCUCAUUGCUGAUGACUGUGGACCAUGUGGAAAGGCAGGAAGAUGACUGCAAGAAUGGGAGGUGGAGAGUGAGCUCGGUGGUGAGUCCACUCUUUUGCACUUUGAGAGACACCCCGUUAUAAUGAGAAUUGUUUGUCAAUUGGGAGGUUACAUGAGGCCAUUUUUUCAGACCUGUCACUGUUAUGGUGCUUUACAGCACCCGUCUGUCUCUCUACAGCUGGCUGCACUGGGCUGUUACCCUGUGUACAUGCCCCAGCUAAAUUUUCUAGCAGGGCGUUAAUAUGGAGUGUAAUUUGUGCGUUCGCGCACAUCUAGACAAAUUGCAUGAGGCACUCUGUACGCCCCAGGAAACACAACGCAGCAACCCUCCUUUACAAGGGUCAGUCACAAAUUUUGUUUUAUUUGAUUUUUAGCAGCAAUAUUUAUACAUUUCUCUCCCGGCCCUUUGAAGAAAUUCCACUGUCCAAUACAUCUCACUGGAGCUGAAAGUGAGCGUCUCUAUUUCUCUGCUCAAAUGUACCUAUUUUUAGAUUUCAGAUGCUGGCAGAGUGCCUGUGACCUUGUUAACCUGCUUUGCAGCAAUCUCGGCUUCUCUUUAAGGGGGCUUUGCAGUCAGGCAACCUUUGAAAGCCGCUCUCUUUUUGGUUUGCUUGUCGACUGAACCUUUCCCAUUGCGAUGGCUGCUGUUUCAUUUUACAGUGAACUCGAGCUGCAAACACCUAAAUCCAAGCAGCAACCCAGCCUCAAUCACUUGCUAAGCUUUACCAAAAACAGCUCCCGGACCCUACUCUUGAAACCUGAUUGUUCCAAGGAAAAGGAAGCUGCCAACCACGAACAAAUGGAAAUAGGGUAUCGCCUUAUAGACAACCUUGCUCAGGUCUCCUGUCCUUGGUACGUGCAAUAACUAAGCCAAAGCUUCAAUACGCUGUAGAAAAGUAAUUAUCCACUAAUACAAAUCCUUGCUUCCCAACAGGGUAGCGGCUCCCAGCAGGAAUGCAGCGCUCAGAGCCUCUAAUUACAGCAAAACGGGAUGAUGGGCAGGAACAGAGUAAACACGAGGAAACCCGGCUACCCCAAGUACUUGGAAAGCUUCCCCUUUAAUCCUAAAAAGGGGCUUUGUCAGCUACGCCUCUGCCCAGCUCCACUCCUCAGUGGGCCCAGAGGUGCGUGGGUGCGUCAGAGAGCAGGGCAUAGAGAGGAGAGCGCCGUGGCUGGAGAGCGUGUGAAGAGGAAAGCCGCUGGGAAAAGGAAGAGAGAGGGGAAGACGGCAUUUGAUCCUUCUGGGCUCUGCUCUCCUCUCAACCUCUGGGGCUAACUCAAGCCAAUGGUUUCUAGCAUAGUCCUCUGUUUACAUUUGCAAUAACCGAAGCUACCAAUGAGCUGAACGCUGGGCAAUCAAUACCAUCCCUUCAUCGGCUCCCCCUUCUCGGAUUCGGGGCUCUCCAGAGAUCCCUCUUCUCGGGCUCGUGAAUGAGACGAACCACGUAGAACC